rnacentral:tRNA from 1 species
GGGGUCGUAGCGAAGCCAGGCAUCGCAACGGGCUCCAGACCCGUGGAUCGAGGGUUCAAUUGUUGUGCUUCAAACCGCA